UUCUCCAAGGGGAGAGUUGUAGAUAGUUCAGACAACCACCUGCUUACACUUGGACUUCUGGUGUUUUUCCAUGAGAGGGCUACUACUCUCUUUGCCAUUAACACACUUAAGUCUACAAAUAUUCGUUGAUAUUUCUUAAUCUUCAAAUUAUCUGGGUAUAGACCCAAUAUAAACAACUGUGGGGCUAAGGGUAUUUGAAUCUGUAAAAUAUUUUGAAUACAUAUGCCUCCUGUAGAUCCUCUCUCCAUGCCUCCAGCCGUCCUGCAGAUGUUUCUGUACUUCCAUCUACUAGGUAUCUGUAGAUUUUGGAUAUUAAACCUCUCCCUAAACAA